rnacentral:lncRNA from 1 species
CAGUAGCCUUAGUGCAGACUAGCUGGAGUAGAUCUAAGCAGUAUUAAUGUGGCAGUCCGCCUCAGCAUGAAAGUGGAGCUUUGCAAAAGGACGAGAAAUGGAUUUGGAUGGGCAAGGUUGAAAGUAGUUACGGAGUCUCGCUCAUCGCCCAGGCUGGAUUGCAGUGGCACGAUCUCGGCUCACUGCAAGCUAUGCCUCCCAGGUUCAUGCCAUUCUCCUGCCUCAGCCUCCCGAGUAGCUGGAACUACAGGCACCCACCACCACGCCCAGCUAAUUUUUUGUAUUUUUAUUAGACAUGGGGUUUCACCUUGUUAGCCAGGAUGGUCUUGAUCUCCUGACCUCGUGAUCCACCCGCCUUGGCCUCCCAAAGUGCUGGGAUUACAGGCAUGAGCCACCAUGCCCAACCAGAAACUGACAAUCUUAAUUGAAGGAUCAAGGUUAACAUGGCUAUGAAAUGGACAAAUUAAAAGCACGUGGCAGCUGAUGGAGCACAGUGGGAUAUAUCUGCCAGAAAUGCAAAACCUGACUCUAAUCAUUAGGAAGUGUCAGACAAACCCCAAUUGAGGGAUGUUCAAUUUUUAAAAAACAAAACUGCCCUGUAACCUUUUAAAAUGUCCAGGGCAUGAAAGUCAAGGAAAAAAAAAACAAAACAAAACUGAAGAACUGUUUUAGAUAGGAGAAUAAAGAGACAUCACAAAUAAUGCAACAUGUGAUUCUGGAUUGAUCUUUUUGCUAUUAAGGAUGUUAUUGGGACAACUGGCAAUAUGUGAAUGAGUUGGGGAUAAAGUGGUAGUAAUAUACCGGUGUUUGUUGCAUUUCAGUGCUUGUGUUACGAUUAUGUAGGAGAAUGUCCUUGUUUGUAGGGAAUAUACACUGAACUAUUUAGGUUCUUUUUGGUGAUAAAUGAAGUUUAGUAUCUUUUCAUGUGAUCAUUGACCAUUUAUACUUUUUUUAUGAAGCCUCUAUGUAUAUCCUUUACCCAUUUUUCUAUUGUUUUGGUUAUUUUUUUCUCAUUGAUUGGUAUUAGUUAUUUGUAAAUUAAGGAAAUUAACCCUUUGUCAGUUAUAGGUAUUACGAAUACCCCCACUUAAAGUUUACAAAUAAAUCCAUUGAUCUUUUCCUCAAGGACAGUAAGGGAUUUUGCUUAAUUCUGUUUUU